AAUAUUUAGAGGGUUUCUCUCCAUCUUCUAUCCAUUUAAUCUUUCUCCUAAUACACUCACCCUGCAUCUUUUUCUUUCUGAUAGCUUCAACACACCUCACAGCCUUAUUAGCAUAAUCGGAACCUUUCUGGUUUUUAUAUUCACGAAAGAAUGAAAAAACCCGAGAAAGUCAAAACUUCGUAUAUCUCGGGAUUUUAACGAGACCAGUCUCAUACUCGUGAAAAUCGAGAGAGGAGUUUAAAUGGAAAAAGUAAGUAAAAGUUUUUGUUUCUUAUAUUGGCAAGCUUUUAAAUUAUUUAAAGUUGCAGAACAAUUGUUUAUUAAUGUGAAGUCGAAGUUUGGGGUGAUUAGCCUUAUCUCUUUAAAUUUUGUUCAGCAUGAAACAGUCUGAACAGCAAUCCUCGAUUUUGUCAAUAAUCUAAAACGUGCUAAGGAGUAGUCAUUCGUCGGUUUACCUGCGGCUUCCAGAUGAUCUGAAGAUCAGGAAUAUAGAAAAUAUUGUCAAUUUGAUAUUGCUAAUGACCCAGUCAAGUCUGCUGAAGCCCAGAAGUUUCCAGACCAUGACAUUAAUGAAUAUUCCUUGAAUGGAAUGCAUGAGGAUUAGAAUGGAACCUUAUUCUGCCUUUUUACCAACUCACACCAUCUUUUCAAGAUUUAUGGAGCCAACCACAGAAGAAUUUGUUCUAUACACAUCAUUCAUAACAUUCUUAUUUAUGUUGCAUAACUUUAAAUGUUACUGGAUGAAUUGUGUUCACAUAAUGAAUACCAGCAAACUUUUUAUCUAACAUAUGUUUUUAUAUUACAUAUUCAUAUACAUGUUACAUAACAUUUUUGGAAACAGCUAUUUUUUUUAAAUUGGAAUUUAGCCUUACUAUUUUAUACAAGUUUUUUUUAAAGGGACUUGGACACGAUUUUAGAUCAAAAUUUUGUUUUCAAUUUCUUUAUGGAUAAAAUGAUUUACUUGCACAUUUUGAAUAAUUGACCAUAAUUUGAAUGUUAGAAGUCAAGUGAUAAGAUAGAUACAGGGGUACGAAUUUAUUGUUAUGUAAACAAAGCUCGAGUCUUAUGUUUGUUUACAAAUAAUAUAAAGUAUGAAAUUACCAUACUGAUUCGAUGUGAUCAUAAAUGAUAUUAAUGAUAUUAUUAAUAGAAAAAAGCAACAUUUAAAUGAAACUUACACCAAUAAAACACAUAUGUUAAUAAUAACAAGACUCGCGCUUUGUUAACAAAACAAAGAAUAUUUGAUUCUUAUCUUUCUUUUAACUCAAUAUUUGACUUUCAAAAUUAGUAUCAUGAUUUUUUUAGAAUGAUAUAUGCAAUUUCAUUAAUUUAUUUUUCAUUUUAAGAAAAUUCAUUUUAAAAAAGAUCUCUUACAACCUGUGUAUUUUUUUUUCAGUUUACAUAACACAGUGUAUUAAUUGAAUGUAGUUGUGUAGAUUUAUACAUGUACCUACAAGCAAUAUACAUUUAAUAUUCACCAGGUACAUGUACCAGCCUACUAUAUUUGAUAAAUAAAUGUACUUCUUUCAUGCCUUUUACUCAUUGUUAUAUGUAUUAUUUAUAAUUAAAAUACUUUGAAAACUUU